rnacentral:rRNA from 1 species
UUUAUUGAAUAUAAUUUUAGAUCAAUCUGCUCAAUGAAAAAUUUUUAAAUAGCUGCAGUAAAAGUAACUGUACUAAGGUAGCAUAAUCAGUUGUUUUUUAAUUGAAAACUAGUAUGAAAGAAUUGAUGAAAUAUAUACUGUCUCGUUUAUAUGGUAUGAAUUUAAAAUUUUAGUAAAAAUGCUAAAAUUUUAUUAUGGGACGAUAAGACCCUAUAGAAUUUUAUAUUUUAUUUAUUAAUUUAAUAAAUUAAAAUAUUUGAUUGGGAGGAUUAUUAAAUUAAAUUAACUUUAAUAGAUUAUUCUUAUAUAUAAGUAAAUUAAAUGAUUAAAUUUUAUUUAUUGAAAGAUUAAAUUACCUUAGGGAUAACAGCGUAAUAUCUUUUGUUAGGUCUUAUUAAUAAAGAUGAUUGCGACCUCGAUGUUGAAUUAAGAUAUUAAUUAGGUGCAGAUAUCUAAUAUAUAAGUCUGUUCGACUUUUAAAAUCUUACGUGAUCUGAGUUCA